UACGUAGGGGGCUAGCGUUGUCCGGAAUCAUUGGGCGUAAAGCGCGCGUAGGCGGCCAGAUAAGUCCGGUGUGAAAGUCACAGGCUCAACCUGUGAAUGCCGCUGGAAACUGUCUGGCUUGAGUCCGGAAGGGGCGAGUGGAAUUCCUGGUGUAGCGGUGAAAUGCGCAGAUAUCAGGAGGAACACCAAUGGCGAAGGCAGCUCGCUGGAACGGUACUGACGCCGAGGCGCGAAAGCGUGGGGAGCGAACAGG
rnacentral:rRNA from 1 species